GACGAACGCUGGCGGCGUGCUUAACACAUGCAAGUCGAACGGAAAGGCCUGCUUUCCCUUGUGGAUUGCGGGUACUCGAGUGGCGAACGGGUGAGUAACACGUGAGUGAUCUGCCCCCAACUUGGGUAUAAGCCUGGGAAACUGGGUCUAAUUCCCGAUAGUACUGCAGGGUGGUGCCUGUGGUGGAAAACGAUUUUCUAGUGGUUGGGGAUGAGCUCGCGGCCUAUCAGCUUGUUGGUGGGGUAAUGGCCUACCAAGGCGGCGACGGGUAGCCGAACUGAGAGGGUGGACGGCCACAUUGAGACUGAGAUACGGCCCAGACGCCUACGGGAGGCAGCAGAGGGGGAUAGUGCACAAUGGGCGGAAGCCUGAUGCAGCGACGCCGCGUGGGGGAUGACGGCCUUCGGGUGGUAAACUCCUUGCGACCGCGAGGAAGCCGCCUGGUUGGAAGGGUGGUGACGGUAGUGGUAGAAGAAGCACCGGCUAACUACGUG
rnacentral:rRNA from 1 species